rnacentral:piRNA from 1 species
UGACUAAUACAGGAAGUACGG